rnacentral:rRNA from 1 species
AAUGAACGCUGGCGGCGCGCCUAAUACAUGCAAGUCGAGCGAGAAGACGUAGCAAUACGUUUGUAAAGCGGCGAACGGGUGAGGAAUACAUGGGUAACCUACCCUCGAGUGGGGAAUAACUAGCCGAAAGGUUAGCUAAUACCGCGUACGCUUCUUGGACUUCGGUUCAGGGAGGAAAGCGAUACCGUGGGUAUCGCGCUCUUGGAUGGGCUCAUGUCCUAUCAGCUUGUUGGUGAGGUAACGGCUCACCAAGGCUUCGACGGGUAGCUGGUCUGAGAGGACGAUCAGCCACACUGGGACUGAGACACGGCCCAGACUCCUACGGGAGCAGCAGUGGGGAAUUUUCGCAAUGGGGGGAAACCCUGACGAAGCAACGCCGCGUGGAGGAUGAAGGCCUCGGUCGUAAC